rnacentral:rRNA from 1 species
GAUGAACGCUAGCUACAGGCUUAACACAUGCAAGUCGAGGGGAAACGACAUCGAAAGCUUGCUUUUGAUGGGCGUCGACCGGCGCACGGGUGAGUAACGCGUAUCCAACCUGCCCAUCACUUGGGAAUAACCUUGCGAAAGUAAGACUAAUACACAAUGAUAUCCCACGAAGGCAUCGGUAUGGGAUGAAAGAUUUAUCGGUGAUGGAUGGGGAUGCGUCUGAUUAGCUUGUUGGCGGGGUAACGGCCCACCAAGGCAACGAUCAGUAGGGGUUCUGAGAGUAAGGUACCCCACAUUGGAACUGAGACCCAGACCAAACUGCUACGGGAGGCAGCAGUGAGGAAUAUUGGUCAAUGGGCGAUAGCCUGACCCAGCCAAGUAGCGUGCAGGAAGCCGGCCCUAGGGGUUGUAUGCUGCUUUUAUAAGAGAAUAAAGUGGGUCACGUGUGACUUUUUGCAGGUACCUUAUGAAUAAGGACCGGCUAAUUCCGUG